CUCCACAAACCGGAAUGCCUGGUCCUAGGUAAGGGCAUCUGAUGUGAUUGCUAUCACCCUGGAAUUCUUAUCAUGGGGACUUGUGGAGAGCGCGGUAUAGGUUUAGUUUAUGUUUGAGAAAUUAAAUCAAAACAAAACAAGAAACUGAAUUUUUUCAAAAGUGAGCAGCUCUUCAACAGUACUUAUCAUACUACAACAAGCCAGUGGUUGCCAACCAAGUGAUUUUAUGACCCAAACGUCGGUCCUGAUUCAUCCUUUAGGAAACCCCGACUCACCAAUGACUUCCACUCUCUGCUGAAAGUGUCCCAUUCCACCGCCUUAUUUACACCAUGUUUCCAGAGGAUCUCCUGUAGAACUCCACCACGGAUCCCAGGAUUGAUGAUGACAUUGCCGUUUGUGAUGACAUAACGGGUGGUGGACGGUCCAGCUGCUAUGGGAUGAGAACAGAGUUACACCACAGUUAACAUGACAUAGUCACAUUGCCCUCAUACGGUAUAAAUGGGCUGAGUUAUUGUAGGGAACAAUGUUAUUACCCUGUAAUACAACCGUCUUCCCCCUAGUCUAUUUUCUAGACAGUGCACAAUGGCCCCAAAAGCAACACCUGGCACAAAAUGCAGUAACUAAAACCCAAAAUAUUUUAGGGCGGGGAAACAGAAGGUGUGGGGAAUAGAUGGUGGGUAAACUCGAGCUAGGCUAGUAAUUAGCCUAAAUUCAGUUGUAGUAUUUUUCAGUGGUAUAAAGUACUUAAAUAAAACUACUAAAAGUACUACUUAAGUCAUUUUGGGGGGUAUCUGUACUUUACUAUUAAUAUUUUGACAACUUUUACUUUUACAUUCCUAAAUAAAAUAAUGUAAAAAUUACACCAUACAUUUUCCCUGACACCCAAAAGUACUUGUUACAUUUUGAAUGCUUAGCAGACAGGAAAAUGGGUCAAUUCAAACACAUCAAGAGAACAUCACUGGUCAUCCCUACUGCCUCUGAUCUGGCUCACUUAACACAAACGUGUCCUUUGUAAAUGAUGUCUGAGUGUUGAAGUGUGCCCCUGGCCAAACACAAAUGCUUCCUUAAUAUAAGGAAUGUGAAAUGAUUUAUACUUUUACUUUUGAUACUUAAGUAUAUUUAAAACCAAAUGCUUUUAGACUUUUACUCAUGUAGUAUUUUACUGGGUAACUUUCACUUUUACUUGUGCAAUUUUCUACUAAGGUAUCUUUACUUUUACUCAAGUAUGACAAGUAUGUACUCUUUCCACCACUGGUAUUUUGAAUAACUUUUUAUGUCAACAAAAGAAAAUACUUUCGUAAGCAAAAGUAAUAGAAACGGGCUAACAAUACCAAAUGUAUUCCUAGGGCAAUCCAUCAAGGGAUUUUUCUAGGACAGGAGAGUAGUGAAGGAGCGUCGAUCAUGGAUCAGCGCGUCCAAACACUUGGUCUCACUAGACUGAAAUCUCAGUUUUCUGUAAUUGUGUCUCGAUUUAUAAAUAGUCUACUAGUCCGGAGAAAUACAUUCACUUACCAUUGACGAAUUGUCCGCCAUAAAUGCAACAGAAUAUAGUGACUAUGCCUAUUAUACUGGGAGUUGAUGUUCCUUGGUCAGCCAUCGCCCGCAGGUGCGAUCCAUAUGAAAGUGAAAGUGUUGUUGUUUCUCUUGAGGACUAUUAUGGUUUUGUCGUGUGUGUGGAUGUUCUCUUGAGGACUAUUAUGGUUUUGUCGUGUGUGUGGAUGUUCUCUUGAGGACUAUUAUGGUUUUGUCGUGUGUGUGGAUGUUCUCUUGAGGACUAUUAUGGUUUUGUCGUGUGUGUGGAUGCUCACAUGGAAUGUAGUCGACCACGGUGGCCUGCUGAAGUCAUCCGAGGUCAAAGAAAGGACAUUUGGAUGAAAAAACUCUCUUUGACUGGCUAACAUUAGAAAAACGUACAACAAUUCGGGGUUUGGGGGGGAAUGCAAUUGGAAUUUCCAAAGUGCAGGUGAUGCAACUAACUUUAUUGAACACUAGAUGUCAGCAUAGUUCUACAAUCCAUGAAAACUGUAGUUCACUGGCUUGCUCCAUUCAAAUUCAAGACCAAUCACCUACCCUGGGUACUUCUGGUAGAUUGAGGAAAGGAAAGGUAUCAACACAUCCUGCUAUGUUGCUUUCACUUGUCCAAUCCUUUCAGAUGUGCUCUCCAGUAGGUAUAAAGGGCUCAGUUUGGAAUUGGUAAGUGAUUACAGUGUAUGAGCGUGCCACUCCUAAGUACAGACCCAGGGUCAGUUUUGUAUGACGUUAUGUUGAGAAUGGAAAAGCUGAUCAGGACGUGCCUGAGAAAAUGCCUGUGUUGAUACUGAUGAGAAGAUGAGUUUGUUUGAAGCUUAUUUUAAGACAUGGCAUCUCUGCACUGCUGAGGGAGUAGAUACAUACAGGGCCUGCUGGUUGGAUCAUUUCCUCUUCUGAGACACACACACACACAAUAGUAAUUGUUGGAUCAGUUAUUUGAGAAGAGGAUGUCUAUUGAUUUUAAAUAGCAUGCUUUUCAUUUAAAUGAUCAUUAAAUAGGGUCAAUCUGGUCAAUUAAAAAGGUCUUACCCAUUGAUGGUCACAUUCAUGGAUUGCUAUUGAAUCUUUACAUUUGAUCACAAUUGAUUUGAGCAAUAUUAGGAAGAAAAUGAACAAUGACGUGGCUAACUAUAAUGUCUUUGAAAAUGUCUCUUCUGAGGUGCCUUCAUUGCGUGUCCUCUUGUAAAAGUAACAGUGUAAUCUGCUUUAAAAAAACUUUCUUUGCACAAUUUGGCGUUGCAAUUUCGUCUCAUUAUUGGAAUGUUAUGUAUGGAUGUUGUAAAUGCUAUUGAGAUAUUUUAAGAUAAUUAUGUGGUACAAUGCAUAUUAAAUAUUAAAACUAUUAAAGUAA